rnacentral:rRNA from 1 species
UGCCAGCCGCCGCGGUAACACGGGGGGUGCAAGCGUUAUUCGGAAUUAUUGGGCGUAAAGGGCGCGCAGGCGGUCUUGUCGGUCAGAUGUGAAAGCCCGGGGCUCAACCCUGGAAGUGCAUUUGAAACAGCAAGACUUGAGUACGGGAGAGGAGAGCGGAAUUCCUGGUGUAGAGGUGAAAUUCGUAGAUAUCAGGAGGAACACCGAUGGCGAAGGCGGCUCUCUGGAUCGAUACUGACGCUGAGGCGCGAAGGCGUGGGUAGCGAACAGGAUUAGAUA